CUCAGGAUGAACGCUGGCGGCGUGCUUAACACAUGCAAGUCGAACGAGAGAAGAUUGGUGCUUGCACUGAUCCGAUCGAGUGGCGGACGGGUGAGUAACGCGUGGGUAACCUGCCUCAUACAGGGGAUAACAGUUGGAAACGGCUGCUAAAACCGCAUAAGCGCACAGUAUCGCAUGAUACAGUGUGAAAAACUCCGGUGGUAUGAGAUGGACCCGCGUCUGAUUAGCUAGUUGGUGAGGUAACGGCCCACCAAGGCAACGAUCAGUAGCCGGCCUGAGAGGGUGAACGGCCACAUUGGGACUGAGACACGGCCCAAACUCCUACGGGAGGCAGCAGUGGGGAAUAUUGCACAAUGGGGGAAACCCUGAUGCAGCGACGCCGCGUGAGUGAUGAAGUAUUUCGGUAUGUAAAGCUCUAUCAGCAGGGAAGAUAAUGACGGUACCUGACUAAGAAGCACCGGCUAAAUACGUG
rnacentral:rRNA from 1 species